rnacentral:misc_RNA from 1 species
AUAUUCCGAUAUCGACAAACGCCGAAUCGCCACUAUGAAGUUCCAAACCGAGGACGUGACCAUUUACUUCCCGUAUGAUAUAUUUACCCGGAGCAAUGCUCGUAUAUGGUGGAGCUAAAGCGUACCCUGCACGCCAAGUGCCACUGCCUCCCGGAAAUGCCAACGGCAGCGGGAAGACCAUAGUGCUUCUAUCUUUAAUCACCAGCUACUCUCUCUCCAAGCCCCAGAGCCAAGUGAAG